rnacentral:rRNA from 1 species
GACGAACGCUGGCGGCGCGCCUAACACAUGCAAGUCGAACGAGCGAGAGAGAGCUUGCUUUCUCGAGCGAGUGGCGAACGGGUGAGUAACGCGUGAGGAACCUGCCUCAAAGAGGGGGACAACAGUUGGAAACGACUGCUAAUACCGCAUAAGCCCACGGUGCCGCAUGGCACCGAGGGAAAAGGAGCAAUCCGCUUUGAGAUGGCCUCGCGUCCGAUUAGCUAGUUGGUGGGGUAAUGGCCCACCAAGGCGACGAUCGGUAGACGGACUGAGAGGUUGAACGGCCACAUUGAGACUGAGACACGGCCCAGACUCCUACGGGAGGCAGCAGUGGGGAAUAUUGCACAGUGGGGGAAACCCUGAUGCAGCGACGACGCGUGGAGGAAGAAGGUCUUCGGAUUGUAAACUCCUGUUGUUGGGGAAGAUAUUGACGUUACCAAAAAAGGAAGUGACGGCUAACUACGUG